GCGGGCGUAGCUCAGUGGUAGAGCACGACCUUGCCAAGGUCGGGGUCGAGGGUUCGAAUCCCUUCGCCCGCUCCA
rnacentral:tRNA from 1 species